UCGCGGCCGCGCCGCAUCCACAUCCCUCAUACGCCCGCAAUCGCCCCAGCCGUGCAUCCCGCAGUCGCGCCGCAUACGCCCGCAGCCACGUCGUUUGGCUUCAGUGGCACCCAUCGGCACCGGCGAUCUUGCUCGCCGCACUCCUCAUUCUCGUCCUUGUUUCUAUGGGCUCCUACUCCGGUCAGGGUGUAGUGCCCAAGUUCGGCGACUAUGAGGCGCAAUGGCACUAGAUGGAGCUCACAUUCCACCUCACACCCUCAGGUUGGCUGCAACACCUCCGACAAUGACUUUUCCUACUAGGGCCUAGAUUACCGGCCCCUCUCCACUUACCAGAGCCUCCUCCACGGUCGCAUCAUCAACGCCUCACUCCCCGAGGUCGUCGCUCUCUACUCCUCCCAUGGCUAUGAAUCUAAGGAAUUGUAUACGCCCUCUCCAGUAGAUUCUUCCUGCUCGUUGUGUGGCAAAUUGUGUGUUGUUAAGACUUGUUGUUGAUUUGUCCGCUAGGAAGUUGCUGAAGCGGUGGACGGUUGUUGGUGUUCUUCCUAGCUGCUCUGAGGUCUGUGUGGGCGUACAUGAAAUUUGGAGUGAGUAUUAGUGGAGAGGAGCUACGGGAGGGGUGGAUGUGGCUGCUAGCCAUGGUCCUCAUCAGUCCUUGCUUGGUAUUGAUUGGUGCAGAAAGUGCACGGACAAGCAGAGUGCUUUGCCUUGCAUUUUGUUUGUAGACUGACAACUAUGUGUUGUAUUGCAGUAUAACUGCAUUAGCCUUGGACUUAAGUCGGAUAACAUGGUUGAGAUGGAUAAGAUAAAUCUUAUCAACUGCAACUUUGGUUGUUCUUCUAAAUAAAAAUCCUAGAAAAAAAUCUGCUUUUCAUAUCAUGCAUAAAUUGAUUUGGGAGUCCUUUUGUUAGCCGAAGCAUAAAGUUUUCUUUUAGAUCUUGUCAAACCUAGACUUAGCACUAGAAACAUUAUGAGGAGAAGGCAUAUGAAUUGGAAUCCUAUGACUGUUUUGUGACAGCAAUUAGUAGAAGAAAUUUUGGACCAUAUGUUCUUCCAGUGCCCCUUUGUUGCUUCUUGUUGGAACCUGCUCCUGAUAAUCACAUGAGAAAACCACAGAAAGCUAAACCAUGGUAGAUUCAAUAGGUUAGAUUAUGCUUGACAAAUAAAAUACACUAGGUUCUCAUCUAGGUAGUAUCCACCUGAUAUUGAUUUGUUGAUGGGCUUGCUUUUCUCCUAACCGCAAGUUUCUCUCGACUCUUGCUGCAGUUGCCCUGUUCCUCAGCGUUCAAGUCAGGAAUUCUGGUCAAUGAGUGCCAACUGUCUGCAAAAAUGUGCACUCCUUGGCAUGACUCUUCAUCCUCCUUGUAAUGGAAACAAGCAAUGUCUCUUUGUUAGGGUACCUUAGAACAUCAUGUUGUACACUGUGCAGUGUAAAAGGGAAGUAAUGCCUGCUUUUGGAGUCCGCGAUUAUGUAGACUACCACAUGAUUAAGUGUGAAAACCUUUGGAGGUCAAUCAUCAUUGGUUUAUAAUAAAGGAGUAGCAAAAACAUGAUUAAGGUAUGUUUAUUGCAUAAUUCAUGGGUCACGUUAAAUCAUUUGCCUUCAUUUCUUUCCUUUUCUUCCCAUGUUAAUCAGUUGCUCAUAUGUAGGUACUAUGGUUAAUUGUUAGGUAGCCUUGAUUGCAUCUUUAGUUUAAGCUUUGGUUUCAAAAAUAAAUUCGACCCGCCUUUCAGAAAAUGUAUUUUUUCAAUGUGCACCGAGUUCAACAUUUGUUACUUCUCCUAUGCCACACAAAUAAACUGUUGGACAUCCCUGAUUCUGAAUGUACCUGAGGGCAAUCCUGUGCAAUUAAAUGUUUCCGACAUUUCAAAACGUCUUCUGAUAUGCUUAUCUUAUCUUGGUAUGUACUCUUUGUCAUAAAAUUUAUUGGUCUGCCUUUAAAGAGCGCAGUGUUUUAAUCUUGGCCGGCCUUUUCAUUCGUGUGGGGUGUGGCAUUUGGAUUUGGUGCAUUGCUUAGACAAUAUUUUGGCCAGCUUCUGCCAACUUACCAUACCAUGUCAAGACUCAAGACAUUAUAUCUACUCAGUGUUGAUGCCAGAUAAGAUAUCGCCUCAAAUAUUCAUUAGACAUAUUAUUGAUUUCAAUUUGAUUAGCUUCUUCAGGUAGAAGGCAUGCAGGUCCAUGCGAAUGAGGGCAUUACUCAAACUCGGGGUGGCAUAUAUUGGAUAAUCUUGCCCGCUGGAUGUAAAUCACUUGUACCUCACUUUAUUCUUUCUUUUUUUUCCUCGAACACGUAGGAG
rnacentral:lncRNA from 1 species